GACCUGGUGGUGGAUGGAUCAUGCCUGCUCCUCUUAGCAGCUUCGGCACAGUAAAGCAGGUGUCCCCGGUUCGAUUCCGGGCUGGGUUG